UUACAUUAUAUUCCUUUCUGUCGCUUCCUUUUCCAUUCUUUUGUUUCAACAGGAUUAUUAUAGGAUCAGGCCAUGUUGCUCAUAGGUGAUUUUUCCCUUGAAUUACACACAAGCUUCUGUUUUGGCAACUCCAAAGGUGAUGAUUUCAGCUUAAUCUUCCAAAGAGGUUAGAGUUGAUACUUGUUGGAUCACCAAAAGUACUACCCAAGUGUCAGUGUCAGCAUCAUCCUUCAACCUCUCCGCCGACGAAGGUGCGUCCUUCUUCUCAAACAGUGCAUGUAUGUAGUUGGCGCACAUUAAAUCCGUCACUGUAUCGUGAUGGAGAGAGAGAUCGUCUUCACACUGUAGCAGCACUUCCAUGCCUGUGCGACAUUAAUUGUCUGCCCGGUCAAACUGCUGCGGUAUCAGGGUUCUCUCAGGGUUCAGGUUUUGUUGGCAAUCCAUCGGUCGGCGAUGGGGAUCCGUCGUCUGGUGUGGUUGAAAAAUCCUGAACCCUGCCUCGGCCGGCGCAGGAAGUGAGGUCAAAUGCUUCCCCUUGGAUUUUAAUGGGUGCAAGGGGCGGGGGGACCGCCGUGGUCGGUCUGCCGCUGCAACUCACGAGAGCACUUGGUCAACUUUUCUUUUGGAAUCUAAGCAGCAGCCGAUUGGCACAACAUGGGAGGUCUCAACGUGGGGCAGUCAAGUCAAAUCGGGUCAACCACUUCCUUUGUCUUUGGUGCCCACACCUGCGCCGAAAGGACUGUGUGGAUGCGUUGGGGAGGACGACGGUAGGCAGCGGGCAGUUCCCAAUAAAUUCCACUCUUCGCUGUCCCAUCACCUCACGGGGGUCAAUACUUGCAUGUGUGUCGUGCCGUACCGGGAGCCAGCAAAGUCAACAGAUGGGAGCCUGUCGCUGUGGCCCCGCCCCUCCUCCUCUUGCUAUUUCACAAUCGGCGCUUUGGUCGCUUCUCUCGUCUUCCCCAAAUCGAUUCUUUUUUGCUUCAAGAGGGACAUAAAGAUCCGAUCUUUGCGCUCGUCGUCGCCACCAAAUCUUGGAUAAAGGUUUGAUCUUGGCGGACGAUUUCGCGGAAUCGGUGGGGGUUCUCUUUUGGGAUCGAGGGUUUUAGCGGUGUGACCGUCUUCGAAAUCGCAUACUGCGGGAUUGGUAUGGAUGAGCACUUCAGGAUUUAGCUGGUGGGAGUAUAUCUGGGGAUUCUUAUGGACAAGUUAUGCUGCUUCAGUGGUUCCUGCUCUCAGCUUGCAGGUCAUUCUUCAAAUGAUGCUGGUAAAGGAAAAAGUUCUCUGAGUGGUGUAAAAAUUACUUAUGGUUUUAGUCUUGUAAAGGGGAGGGCUAAUCAUCCAAUGGAAGAUUAUCAUGUUGCAAAGUUCAUCCAGAUAAGGGGGCAGGAGCUUGGUCUCUUUGCUAUAUUUGAUGGUCAUUUGGGUGAUGAUGUACCUGCCUAUUUACAGAAGCAUCUGUUUACUAACAUUCUUAAAGAGGAAGAUUUUUGGAAUGAUCCAGGAGGAGCAAUUUUCAAAGCCUAUGGAAAGACUGACAAGGCAAUUUUGUCACAAAGUCCCGAUCUAGGACAAGGUGGAUCGACAGCUGUUACUGCAAUUCUCAUGAAUGGAAGGAGAUUGUGGAUUGCUAACAUUGGUGAUUCACGAGCUGUUCUUGCAAAAGGUAGAGAGGUUAUACAAUUGACUGUUGAUCAUGAACCCAGCACUGAACGUGGAAGUAUCGAGAAUAGAGGUGGAUUUGUCUCGAACAUGCCAGCUAGCUUAAGCUUUGACGGUGGACAGUAAAGUCUUUAGAUCAAGUUUCAUCUUCACCCCUUAUCCUUUGCCCAAAAAAGAAAGAAGGUAAACAUGUAAUAUAUUCUUCAUGAUGUUAUCAUUUGUAUCUGAAACAAGGAUCCAUAUCAGUUGAGACAAAUGCUGAUUGUUAUAAUAUUAUGAUAUCAGGAGACGUUCCCAGAGUUAAUGGUCAAUUGGCUGUUUCCCGUGCUUUUGGAGACAAGAGCCUCAAAUCCCAUUUGAGCUCAGAUCCCGAUAUACGCUUUGAAGAUGUGACUGCUGAUUGUGAUCUACUCAUCCUUGCAAGUGAUGGCCUGUGGAAGGUCAUGGGCAAUGAAGAUGCAGUCGAUAUUGCUAGAAAGGCUAAGGAUCCACAAGCAGCAGCUAGGCUUUUGACAGCUGAAGCAGUGAAUAAAGCUAGCAAAGAUGACAUCUCUUGCAUUGUUGUCCAACUAAGGGCACAGAGGUGUGAUGGUUAUGGACGACCUUGAGGAAGUCAUCAAUAGACACAUGCAGGAUGGCAUAAACCUCGAGCUGGAUGUGCGCAAUGGUGCAGUCUGUCAUUGCCUACCAGAUGGUAGGAACUAAAUUAGAUCUCUUGUGCGGUUCGAUUCUUCUGUAAAUUGCUUCUUCCUUCAUUAGGGUUUGGCGAGUGUGGUAUUGUUUGAUUUCUUCGGCACAUUAGUUAAUGAAAGUUUCUCUAUGUGUUUGUUGGCACGGAAACUGAGUUCUCAAGAUUGGUUAGAUGGCUUUGCCUUCUAUUUCUUGGCUACUUGUUAACACUGGAAGCUGGAUCAUGCUUUGCCUUUUCGUUAUAUGCUUAAAAAUGAUUGAAUUUUCUAUU